GAGUUAGUGGUAGGACGGGUUUGG
rnacentral:siRNA from 1 species